UCUCCGUUGGUGAACCAGCGGAGGGAUCAUUACCGAGUUUACAACUCCCAAACCCCAUGUGAACCUUACCAAACGUUGCUUCGGCGGGAUGCCCCGGGCGCGGGCCGCAAGGCCUCAGCCCCGGAACCAAGCGCCCGCCGGAGGCCCAAACCAAACUCUUGUUUUUGUAGAAUCUUCUGAGUGGCCUUUUAGGCAAAAAAUGAAUCAAAACUUUCAACAACGGAUCUCUUGGUUCUG
rnacentral:misc_RNA from 1 species